UUUUCCGGUUGAUCCUGCCAGAGGUCACUGCUAUCGGGGUUCGAUUAAGCCAUGCGAGUCGAGAGGGUUCGGCCCUCGGCGUACUGUUCAGUAACACGUGGAUAACCUGCCCUAGGGAAGGGGAUAACCCUGGGAAACUGGGGAUAAUACCCUAUAGGUUACAGAUGCUGGAAUGCUCUGUAACCCAAAGUUCCGGCGCCCUAGGAUGGAUCUGCGGCCGAUUAGGUUGUUGUUGGGGUAAUGGCCCAACAAGCCAGUAAUCGGUACGGGUUGUGGGAGCAAGAGCCCGGAGUUGGAUUCUGAGACACGAAUCCAGGCCCUACGGGGCGCAGCAGGCGCGAAAACUUUACAAUGCGGGCAACCGUGAUAAGGGAACCUCGAGUGCCUGUAAAUGCAGGCUGUUUAGGUGUUUAAAACGCACCUGGAGAAAGGGCCGGGCAAGACCGGUGCCAGCCGCCGCGGUAAUACCGGCGGCUCGAGUGGUGGCCACUUUUAUUGGGCUUAAAGCGUUCGUAGCUGGGUUGUUAAGUCUCUUGGGAAAUCUGGCGGCUUAACCGUCAGGCGUCUAAGGGAUACUGGCAAUCUUGGAACCGGGAGAGGUGAGGGGUACUUCGGGGGUAGGAGUGAAAUCCUGUAAUCCUCGAGGGACCACCUGUGGCGAAGGCGCCUCACCAGAACGGCUUCGACAGUGAGGGACGAAAGCUGGGGGAGCAAACCGGAUUAGAUACCCGGGUAGUCCCAGCCGUAAACUAUGCGCGUUAGGUGUAUCGGUGACCACGAGUUACCGAGGUGCCGAAGGGAAACCGUGAAACGUGCCGCCUGGGAAGUACGGUCGCAAGGCUGAAACUUAAAGGAAUUGGCGGGA
rnacentral:rRNA from 1 species